rnacentral:sRNA from 1 species
UUCUAGCCCCGAUAGGAGCAAACUACCGUGUAGUGCGGAUAGCGGGAACAAUA